rnacentral:rRNA from 1 species
GAUUAAGCCAUGCGAGUCAACGCAGCAAUGCGUGGCAUACGGCUCAGUAACACGUAGUCAACAUGCCCAGGGGACGUGGAUAACCUCGGGAAACUGAGGAUAAACCGCGAUAGGCCAAGAUUUCUGGAAUGGAUCAUGGCUGAAAUCUACAUGGCCCCUGGAUUGGACUGCGGCCGAUCAGGCUGUUGGUGAGGUAAUGGCCCACCAAACCUGUAACCGGUACGGGCUUUGAGAGAAGGAGCCCGGAGAUGGGCACUGAGACAAGGGCCCAGGCCCUAUGGGGCGCAGCAGGCGCGAAACCUCUGCAAUAGGCGAAAGCUUGACAGGGUUACUCUGAGUGACGUCCGUUAAGGACAUCUUUUGGCACCUCUAAAAAUGGUGCAGAAUAAGGGGUGGGCAAGUCUGGUGUCAGCCGCCGCGGUAAUACCAGCACCCCGAGUGGUCGGGACGAUUAUUGGGCCUAAAGCAUCCGUAGCUUGUCCUGCAAGUCCUCCGUUAAAUCCACCUGCUCAACAGAUGGGCUGCGGGGGACACUACAGGGCUAGGAGGCGGGAGAGGCAAACGGUACUCAGUGGGUAGGGGUAAAAUCCUCUGAUCCACUGAAGACCACCAGUGGCGAAGGCGGUUUGCCAGAACGCGCUCGACGGUGAGGGAUGAAAGCUGGGGGAGCAAACCGGAUUAGAUACCCGGGUAGUCCCAGCUGUAAACGAUGCAGACUCGGUGAUGGGUUGGCUUCGCGCCAACCCAGUGCCGCAGGGAAGCCGUUAAGUCUGCCGCCUGGGGAGUACGGUCGCAAGACUGAAACUUAAAGGAAUUGGCGGGGGAGCAC